rnacentral:rRNA from 1 species
AUUGAACGCUGGCGGCAGGCUUAACACAUGCAAGUCGAGCGGGGGAAGGUAGCCUGCUACCGGACCUAGCGGCGGACGGGUGAGUAAUGCUUAGGAAUCUGCCUAUUAGUGGGGGACAACAUCUCGAAAGGGAUGCUAAUACCGCAUACGUCCUACGGGAGAAAGCAGGGGAUCUUCGGACCUUGCGCUAAUAGAUGAGCCUAAGUCGGAUUAGCUAGUUGGUGGGGUAAAGGCCUACCAAGGCGACGAUCUGUAGCGGGUCUGAGAGGAUGAUCCGCCACACUGGGACUGAGACACGUCCCAGACUCCUACGGGAGGCAGCAGUGGUGAAUAUUGGACAAUGGGGGGAACCCUGAUCCAGCCAUGCCGCGUGUGUGAAGAAGGCCUUAUGGUUGUAAAGCACUUUAAGCGAGGAGGAGGCUACUCUAGUUAAUACCUAGGGAUAGUGGACGUUACUCGCAGAAUAAGCACCGCCUAACUCUGUGCCAGCCGCCGCAGUAA